rnacentral:rRNA from 1 species
GAUGAACGCUAGCGACAGGCUUAACACAUGCAAGUCGAGGGGCAGCACAGGUAGCACUACCGGGUGGCGACCGGCGCACGGGUGAGUAACGCGUAUGCAACUUACCUAUCAGAGGGGGAUAACCCGGCGAAAGUCGGACUAAUACCGCAUGAAGCAGGGGUCCCGCAUGGGGAUAUUUGCUAAAGAUUCAUCGCUGAUAGAUAGGCAUGCGUUCCAUUAGGCAGUUGGCGGGGUAACGGCCCACCAAACCGACGAUGGAUAGGGGUUCUGAGAGGAAGGUCCCCCACAUUGGUACUGAGACACGGACCAAACUCCUACGGGAGGCAGCAGUGAGGAAUAUUGGUCAAUGGCCGAGAGGCUGAACCAGCCAAGUCGCGUGAGGGAUGAAGGUUCUAUGGAUCGUAAACCUCUUUUAUAAGGGAAUAAAGUGCGGGACGUGUCCCGUUUUGUAUGUACCUUAUGAAUAAGGAUCGGCUAACUCCGUG